rnacentral:lncRNA from 1 species
AUGAUGCUUUUCCAUUUCUGUUUUUCUCCCUUUGCCUCUAAGGCUGUAUGUACCUUGGACUGGAACCCCAGCGGUGUUUUCUGCUGAAGCCCUCGGUCUAGCCCAGGGUGUUCACCAAAAUGGAGCAUAUUUGGGCACUCACCUCCUGCGCAAGCUCAGUGUAACCAAACCAGGCCACCAUGGUACCACAGUUAAAGAUCAUGGAGAACAUCGGGUGAAAAAAUUGCUUUCCAUCUGAAAGCAGUGGAGUGGAUUAAAGAGCUAAGGACUGACCCAAGAAAUAUAUCUCACAUCUGUCACACCUGGAUUGUAGGAAUUUAAAGUAGGUCCACAACUGAAGUUGACUGGAGCCAAACCUGGAGCUGCUGCUUUGCGUUUGGGCCUGAUAGCAGGUCUGUAUUUUCUUUUAACAUGGAAGGGAGGUGCUGUCACCAUUGUGUGGCUUAGUUUGAGGGAUAUACU